AAAACUACAACAAAGUUUACCAAGUCUGCUUUGUGAUCUCAGUUUAAGAAGGGAAAGGAUGUUUUCAGUUUUUUGGGGGGUUGGUUUUUUUUUUUUCUUUAUCUAGAAACGUCUUUGUAUGAAAAGACUUCUGAUAACAGCACUUGAUGUAGCAGGGCAAGGUAUUGCAAGAGUCAGAGAAGGGGGUUGAAUUAGACAAACCUCUGCUAGGAACAAGUCCUUCAGAUAGUUGUUACACCUGUAUGUCUUGCCUUGAAACGCACCGGACCCAAGGUUACUUUCUGAAGAGCUGCUAUAAUCCCACCAAGCUUCAUAGAUUAGUGCCCUGGGGUGAAAUGUUCUGGCCUGUCUUCUGCCAGGAGUGAAACCACAGGUUCAUAAUGAGUCAUCUUAGCAUUACAAUUCGAUGAACUUGAAUACUGGCUGACUGAAAAUACUGCUUUUUGUGUGUUAAUUUUUUUUUUUUUUCUUUCACCAGGCUAGGUGCAUUCUGUGUACAGGUGACAACACUAAACUUUUUCUGCUGGUAAAAGUUUUCCACACAUGGUUUUAUUUUUAUUUUCUUUUAGACAACUAAUGUGGCUUAUACAUCCUAUAUGAGCCACUGGCAUCUGCAAACAAUUGCAGCUAAUAUAUGUAUUUUUUACUUUUUAGUUCUGCUUUGCAUUGCAUACUGUACCAACCAGCGAGCAUCCAUCUUGGGCAGUCUCAAUGGAUUCUUCACCUAUGUUGAACCCCUUCUGUCUGCAUGUACGGGGUCUUUGCAGAAGUGAGCUGAGACCUGGGUACUUUAUUCCAGGCUUUUCUCAUCUGCAAGAAGAGGGUCGUCCAAGCUUUUGGAGUAACUGUUGAGAGCUGGCAAUGAUGUCGGUAUAGGUCUUCUGGUUUCUUGUACUAGGAGACCCGGCAUAAGCUGAGUGUCCCUUCCCCAGGACCAUUUUCUGUCUCCAUUAAACUCUUCCCUGCUCUCUUGAUGCAGUUUUUAAUUUCAGUUACUGCAGCCCAGCGUGUCUGGAGUGGGAUGAGACUUGAGUACAUCCCUCCACCUCGCUUGUUGGUGGCUUGUCUUGGGCCCUGUUUCUGGAAUGAUUCACUUCAGAGUCACAUUUCAGUAACGCUGAAGUUUGUCAGGACGAAUAUUGGUUGCAGUAAAUGAAGGGGAUGAGCAGUCACUCUACACGGUCCUGCCUCCCCUUCAUUAUUAACACCCCCUCAAGGACUGUCAGGACAACUCUUGUCAUUUUGCUCCUGCUUUUAUCACAGCAGAGGCUUCCUAUCAAGACUGAAAUGUAUCUUCAGCAUCACUUACGUUCGCGCAAGGAUUAUAAGUUCCUUAAUAAAAUGAAAGCAGGACUUUAGAUUUAUUCUCAUUCUGCUUUAUAUUACACUGCUGUUGAAAUGCUGCAAGUACUUGUUCAUAGGGUGAACAUCCAGCAAGGCCAUACUGCACGCUCAUGGAUGACAGGCUACAUCUGAAUAGUGAGUUACCUCUGCAAAAAGUGGACAAUCCUUGAGCACUGAUGACCCAGUGAAACCUCUCCUGUAAUGAGACUUCUCAUGGCAGAUCAGCCAGGCCGUCUGCAGCAUCCUGACAUGAGUUUUGGCUUGCUGAUAGCUACAGUCACUCAAAUGGGAAUUCCCUGGUUGCGGUCCCAGCUGGAACUGGUGCUAUGCUUGGAUGCUGCUGAAACCUGUAACGCUGGCGCUACUGUACUUGGUACGCUCAGAGCCGUGCUUGAAUGAAGCAGCAAAAGCAGAGAACAAGAGCUGCUUUGUUACGGGAGCCGCUGGGCCACUGCCUCUCCCUUGGCAGCACAGAGAGGACCGGGAUCCUGCCUGGAGGUCUGGGAGGACUGACCCUGCCCCCCAAGAAAGGUCCCUUCAGCUCCUCCGCUACAGAAACAAGUGACAAACUUCGGAAAGGACACCGGUGAUACUGGACUUCUUCCAGAGUUGGCCCAGGUGAGAGAUUCCAUGACACUGAAAGCACAGCGAUGAUCACACAGCCAUGUCGCAGCAGUACGUGCCAGAGCCUGAGGCUGUCAGGACACAGCUUGGAGACGCAUGGGAUGCCAAGCAGAGGAAACUGACGCACAGCCGGCUGAAGAACUGCCCUGUCCUAAACUCAUCUGAAGGAAAGGAAACUGAAGAAGAAAAUCUGACUUGUGGAGCUGUUCAGCACAGAAUAUUCUUGCAGAGAUCAACAAACUGAAGAAAUUCAGUGCCUAAGAAACCAAGGGAUUGGAACUUUGUUAAAGAUCUCAAGAAAAAGAUUUGCACAUAUAUUAACAGAAUGCAGACAUCCUUGUUCUUGGCCUUAAACUUUUAAUGGCAAUUAUCCUUCCAUGCAUAAGAAAGGUUGGAUGACUCCUUCAUUUUCAGAGGAAGUAGCAAAAUAAGAAAUUUUCCAGGUGAUUAUUUCACUGUACCCUAUUCGCAAAAUGAAUGCAAGAUAAUUUGUGAAGUCUGCAACCUUAGAUAGUGAUCUAAGUUCAGUUCCUGGUAUGUUUGUUCUCAGCACAGAUGCUGAAAACGGAACUGAUUAAAAACAACACAAAACCCAACCACCAAACCCCCAAUGCCCCCAGUGAAUGCUGUAAAACAGAUUUAUUUGCUUUUAUCUCCUAGCAGUAAGCCUAAUGAUCAAGUUUGAUUGAAAGGUAGACAUACAGUUUUAAAACUAUGAUAUACAUGGAAGUACACAGGUAACAAAUAGUAAUUAAAACCCCCAACUAUUAAAGACCUCAUUAGAUGCCCAAAACCAAGAAACUCACGAUCACUAACAAAAACAUCAGAAAAUUCUGCUGUUUGUGGAGACAGUAUCAUCACCUGUAAGUUUUCCAGCACUUAAAUGACCAUUGGUCUCUUGUUUAAUGAGCAUUUCUGGACACAUCCUUGCAUCUACACCUUUCAACUUUUUUUUGAUAUUUGAUAUAUUUGAUACUACAUGUGCAAUCAGUAUGUAGGACUACACUCUUAACACGGCUAUUAGUUGCAAUAACUAAUGGGAACUCUUUUCAGCUGCACCCACAAGUCAGGUAAGUGUCUAACUGCUUGCAAAUCUGCCCUGAAUUGACAAGAAUAGGUUGGCAACUGACAAAAACCAAGUUCUAGUAUAAACCAGAACAUAUGAUGAUUAUGGUUUAUCUUGUGAAAUCGGACCUCUGAGAUGCACUUCUGUUCUAUUGUUACACAAAUAAACUCUGAUGGAAAGCA